UGGGAUAUAGCUCAGUUGGUAGAGUGCUUGACUCAUAUGCACAAGGCCUGGGUUCAAUCCCCAGCACCUAAA
rnacentral:tRNA from 1 species